rnacentral:rRNA from 1 species
CCUACGGGUGGCAGCAGUGGGGAAUAUUGCACAAUGGGCGAAAGCCUGAUGCAGCAACGCCGCGUGAGCGAUGAAGGCCUUCGGGUCGUAAAGCUCUGUCCUCAAGGAAGAUAAUGACGGUACUUGAGGAGGAAGCCCCGGCUAACUACGUGCCAGCAGCCGCGGUAAUACGAGGGGGGCUAGGGUUAUCCGGAAUUACUGGGCGUAAAGGGGGCGUAGGUGGUUUCUUAAGUCAGUGGGAAAAGGCAACGGUUAAACCGUAGUAAGCCUUUGAAAAUGGGGAACUUGAGUGUAGGAGAGGAGAGUGGAAUUCCUAGUGUAGCGGUGAAAUGCGUAGAUAUUAGGAGGAACACCAGUGGCGAAGGCGGCUCUCUGGACUGUAACUGACGCUGAGGCACGAAAGCGUGGGGAGCAAACAGGAUUAGAUACCCGUGUAGUC